rnacentral:rRNA from 1 species
ACACGACUACAUUAGAUACCCGGGUAGUCCUAGGCGUAAAUGAUGCGAGUUAAGUGUGGGGGCAUCUACGAGAUGGCCCUGUGCUGUAGGGUAGCCGUUAAACUCGCUGCCUGGGAGUACGGUCGCAAGGCUGAAACUUAAAGGAAUUGGCGGGGGAGCACCACAACGGGUGGAGCUUGCGGUUUAAUUGGAUUCAACGCCGGAAAUCUCACCGGAUAAGACAGCUGAAUGAUAGUCGGGAUGAAGACUCUACUUGACUAGCUG